GUUUAGCCAAGUGGUUAAGGCAACGGACUCUGACCCCGUUAUGCAUAGGUUCGAAUCCUAUAACU
rnacentral:tRNA from 1 species